AAACUUACCUGGCAGGGGAGAUACCAUGAUCAUGAAGGUGGUUUUCCCAGGGCGAGUCUUAUCUAUUGCACUCCAGAUGUGCUAACCCCUGCAAUUUCCCCAAAUGGAGGGAAACUUGACUGCAUAAUUUGUGGUAGUGGGGGACUGCGUUCAUGCUCUCCCCUG
ensembl:snRNA U1 U1 spliceosomal RNA